rnacentral:rRNA from 1 species
GAAAUUUUGCAGCUUAACUGUAACAGUGCCGUUGAUACUGUAGGGCUAGGAUUUGGUUGCUGUGGGUGGAAUGUGUGGUGUAGCGGUGAAAUGCUUAGAUAUCACACAGAAUAUCGAUUGCGAAGGCAGCUCACAAAGCCCAAGAUUGACGCUGAGGCACGAAAGUGUGGGGAUCAAACAGGAUUAGAUACCCUGGUAGUCCCACACUGUAAACGAUGAUAACUCGCUGCCGGCGAUACACAGUCGGUGGCCAAGCGAAAGCGAUAAGUUAUCCACCUGGGGAGUACGACCGCAAGGUUGAAACUCAAAGGAAUUGACGGGGGCCCGCACAAGCGGAGGAACAUGUGGUUUAAUUCGAUGAUACGCGAGGAACCUUACCCGGGCUCGAACGGUUCAUGAAUAUACAAGAGAUUGUAUAGUCCUUCGGGACAUGUAUCGAGGUGCUGCAUGGUUGUCGUCAGCUCGUGCCGUGAGGUGUCGGCUUAAGUGCCAUAACGAGCGCAAUCCUUGUCAUUAGUUACCAUCAGGUCAAGCUGGGGACUCUAAUGAGACUGCCACCGUAAGGUGUGAGGAAGGGGGGGAUGACGUCAAAUCAGCACGGCCCUUAUGUCCGGGGCGACACACGUGUUACAAUGGGAGGUACAGAGGGCAGCUAUCCAGUGAUGGAGUGCAAAUCUCAAAAACCUUUCUCAGUUCGGAUUGGAGUCUGCAACUCGACUCCAUGAAGUUGGAUUCGCUAGUAAUCGCGCAUCAGCCAUGGCGCGGUGAAUACGUUCCCGGGCCUUGUACACACCGCCCGUCAAGCCAUGGAAGCUUGGGGUGCU